rnacentral:rRNA from 1 species
UGGGGAAUAUUGCACAAUGGGCGCAAGCCUGAUGCAGCGACGCCGCGUGAGGGAUGACGGCCUUCGGGUUGUAAACCUCUUUCAGCAGGGACGAAGCGCAAGUGACGGUACCUGCAGAAGAAGCACCGGCCAACUACGUGCCAGCAGCCGCGGUAAUACGUAGGGUGCGAGCGUUGUCCGGAAUUACUGGGCGUAAAGAGCUCGUAGGCGGUUUGUCGCGUCGUCUGUGAAAUUCUGCAGCUUAACUGCAGGCGUGCAGGCGAUACGGGCAGACUUGAGUACUACAGGGGAGACUGGAAUUCCUGGUGUAGCGGUGAAAUGCGCAGAUAUCAGGAGGAACACCGGUGGCGAAGGCGGGUCUCUGGGUAGUAACUGACGCUGAGGAGCGAAAGCGUGGGUAGCGAACAGGAUUAGAUACCCUGGUAGUCCACGCCGUAAACGGUGGGUACUAGGUGUGGGUUCCAUUUCACGGGAUCCGUGCCGUAGCUAACGCAUUAAGUACCCGCCUGGGGAGUACGGCCGCAAGGCUAAAACUUAAAUGAAUUGACGGGGUCAUAGCUGUUUCCU